UACGUAGGGGGCAAGCGUUGUCCGGAUUUACUGGGCGUAAAGAGCGUGUAGGCGGCCAAACAGGUCCGUUGUGAAAACUGGAGGCUUAACCUCCAGACGUCGACGGAAACCGUAUGGCUAGAGUCCGGAAGAGGAGAGUGGAAUUCCUGGUGUAGCGGUGAAAUGCGCAGAUAUCAGGAAGAACACCUAUGGCGAAGGCAGCUCUCUGGGACGGUACUGACGCUGAGACGCGAAAGCGUGGGGAGCGAACAGG
rnacentral:rRNA from 1 species